rnacentral:tRNA from 2 species
CUCGGGGUAGCUCAAUGGUAGAGCGCGCGGCUCUGGGACCGCGUCGAUGGUGUGUUCGACCCCACCCCCGAGA